rnacentral:tRNA from 1 species
GGGGGUAUAGCUCAGUGAUAGAGCAUGUGCUUAGCAUGCAUGAGGUCCUGGGUUCAAUCCCCAGUGCCUCCA